rnacentral:misc_RNA from 1 species
CCGAGUUUACAAACUCCCAAACCCCAGUGUGAACCUCUACCGCAACGUUGCCUCGGCGGGACUCGCCCCGGGCGCGCCCUCUAACGGACGCCCGGAUACCACGGCGCCCGCCGCAGGACCCCCAAAACUCUCUUGCAUCUGCAGCGUCGUUUUCUUCUGAGUGGUGGCCUUUUCCCCGCGAGAGCGGGAGGAAAUGAAUCA